GAUGAACGCUAGCGGGAGGCCUAACACAUGCAAGCCGAGCGGUAGAGAUUCUUCGGAAUCUUGAGAGCGGCGUACGGGUGCGGAACACGUGUGCAACCUACCUUUAUCAGGGGGAUAGCCUUUCGAAAGGAAGAUUAAUACCCCAUAAUAUAUUGAAUGGCAUCAUUUGAUAUUGAAAACUCCGGUGGAUAGAGAUGGGCACGCGCAAGAUUAGAUAGUUGGUAGGGUAACGGCCUACCAAGUCAAUGAUCUUUAGGGGGCCUGAGAGGGUGAUCCCCCACACUGGUACUGAGACACGGACCAGACUCCUACGGGAGGCAGCAGUGAGGAAUAUUGGACAAUGGGUGAAAGCCUGAUCCAGCCAUCCCGCGUGAAGGACGACGGCCCUAUGGGUUGUAAACUUCUUUUGUAUAGGGAUAAACCUUUCCACGUGUGGAAAGCUGAAGGUACUAUACGAAUAAGCACCGGCUAACUCCGUGCCAGCAGCCGCGGUAAUACGGAGGGUGCAAGCGUUAUCCGGAUUUAUUGGGUUUAAAGGGUCCGUAGGCGGAUCUGUAAGUCAGUGGUGAAAUCUCAUAGCUUAACUAUGAAACUGCCAUUGAUACUGCAGGUCUUGAGUAAAAGUAGAAGUGGCUGGAAUAAGUAGUGUAGCGGUGAAAUGCAUAGAUAUUACUUAGACACCAAUUGCGAAAGGCAGGUCACUAUGUUUUAACUGACGCUGAUGGACGAAAGCGUGGGGAGCGAACAGGAUUAGAUACCCUGGUAGUCCACGCCGUAAACGAUGCUAACUCGUUUUUGGGACUUCGGUUUCAGAGACUAAGCGAAAGUGAUAAGUUAGCCACCUGGGGAGUACGUUCGCAAGAAUGAAACUCAAAGGAAUUGACGGGGGCCCGCACAAGCGGUGGAUUAUGUGGUUUAAUUCGAUGAUACGCGAGGAACCUUACCAAGACUUAAAUGGGAAAUGACAGGUUUAGAAAUAGAUCCUUCUUCGGACAUUUUUCAAGGUGCUGCAUGGUUGUCGUCAGCUCGUGCCGUGAGGUGUUAGGUUAAGUCCUGCAACGAGCGCAACCCCUGUCACUAGUUGCUAACAUUCAGUUGAGGACUCUAGUGAGACUGCCUACGCAAGUAGAGAGGAAGGUGGGGAUGACGUCAAAUCAUCACGGCCCUUACGUCUUGGGCCACACACGUAAUACAAUGGCCGGUACAGAGGGCAGCUACACAGCGAUGUGAUGCGAAUCUCGAAAGCCGGUCUCAGUUCGGAUUGGAGUCUGCAACUCGACUCUAUGAAGCUGGAAUCGCUAGUAAUCGCGCAUCAGCCAUGGCGCGGUGAAUACGUUCCCGGGCCU
rnacentral:rRNA from 1 species